rnacentral:rRNA from 1 species
GAAAGGCGGGCUAAUACCGAAUGAUAUCUUGAAAACUUAUGUUUUCAGGAUCAAAGGUGGCCUCUACAUGUAAGCUAUUGUUUGGGGAUGAGCCCGCGUACCAUUAGCUUGUUGGUAGGGUAAUGGCCUACCAAGGCUACGAUGGUUAGCUGGUCUGAGAGGAUGAUCAGCCACACUGGAACUGACACACGGUCCAGACUCCUACGGGAGGCAGCAGUGAGGAAUUUUGCGCAAUGGGGGAAACCCUGACGCAGCAACGCCGCGUGAGUGAUGAAGGCUUUCGGGUCGUAAAGCUCUGUCAAGUGGGAAGAACCCAUAUGGUGUUAAUAUCGCCAUAUGCUGACGGUACCACUGAAGGAAGCACCGGCUAACUCCGUGCCAGCAGCCGCGGUAAUACGGGGGGUGCGAGCGUUAUUCGGAAUUACUGGGCGUAAAGAGCGCGUAGGCGGUCUCUUAAGUCAGGUGUGAAAGCCCGGGGCUCAACCCCGGAAGUACACUUGAAACUAAGAGACUUGAGUAUGGGAGAGGGAAGUGGAAAUUCCUGGUGUA